UACGUAGGGACCGAGCGUUGUCCGGAUUCAUUGGGCGUAAAGAGCUCGUAGGCGGCUGUUCAAGUCGAACGUGAAAACUCGGAGCUCAACUCCGAGCCUGCGUUCGAUACUGGACGGCUAGAGUCUGGUAGGGGGAUCUGGAAUUCCUGGUGUAGCGGUGGAAUGCGCAGAUAUCGGGAGGAACACCUAUGGCGAAGGCGGGUUGUUGGGCUGACACUGACGCUGAUGCGCGAAAGCCAGGGGAGCGAACGGG
rnacentral:rRNA from 1 species